UGGGGAAUAUUGGGGCAAUGGACGAAAGUCUGACCCAGCGACGCCGCGUGAGGGAAGAAGGUCUUCGGAUUGUAAACCUUAGUCAACAGGGAAGAAGAAAGUGACGGUACCUGUGGAGGAAGCCACGGCUAACUACGUGCCAGCAGCCGCGGUAAUACGUAGGUGGCGAGCGUUAUCCGGAUUUACUGGGUGUAAAGGGUGUGUAGGCGGGAGAGCAAGUCAGAUGUGAAAUCUAUGGGCUUAACCCAUAAACUGCAUUUGAAACUGUUCUCUUGAGUAUCGGAGAGGCAGGCGGAAUUCCUAGUGUAGCGGUGAAAUGCGUAGAUAUUAGGAGGAACACCAGUGGCGAAGGCGGCCUGCUGGACGACAACUGACGCUGAGGCGCGAAAGCGUGGGGAGCAAACAGGAUUAGAUACCCUGGUAGU
rnacentral:rRNA from 1 species